UGCGUGUGUCCCAGCCCAGUCGUCCGCACCAGAGUCUUUUUGUAUGCACAGCGUUGCUUAACUGCAGAUCUGUGUUUAACGCGUUAACUAGCCGACUAAUUACUAUUAGCUGUUAGAAUAAAGCUAUCGCAGAGCGAUUGAACCUGAGGGACAUAGGCUGCUGCAUUUAGGUGGUCUGCUGCGUCUUGCAUCCAAUUAUCGGUGCGCGAGACCGGUGGGCAGCGGCAAUAGGGGCGGAUACAGCGGCAGAAGAACCCCAAGCAUCAUUUGUGUUCCCAAACGAUGGCGUCAGUAUGGUCAAUAAAAUGCCGAUGGAUAUGAACACUUCUGUUGAUUCUUGCACUGUUGGAUAUUAGAGGUGCUCAUUGCUACUUUGGUUUAGAAGCCACGUCACCGAAUUGUUCCUGUCUUCCCACGACAACCUGCUGUAUAGACCGAGCGCGAAGCGUGGGGGGGAGGCGAGGACACACCCGCACUGUACCGUUCUCUUCCCCUCCUCCUCCUCUGCCCAGAUCAGAUCAUGCUCCCGGUGCGCUGGUAGCCGUCGCCGCUGCUGCAGAACGCCCCAGGACUUGGAAACUGGGAAUGAAUACACAUAUUUUGGGAUAAUUUUCCAUAUGAGUUCCUGGAGGACACCUUCGUCGCCACUGGAGGUUAUUUCUCUAUUUGGCACCGGUCCUGCGUCCCGUCGUGGCCAGGUGGCGUGGCUUUGAUAAAGAAGUUUAUUUGCAGGGUUUCUCUCGGUGACAUCCUGUGGCCCUCAGCUCUCUACGGUGUUGAGCCCCCUCCCUCACCAGCCUCCCCUGUCCUGCCCC